UAAUCUGAUACUCAUUGAAGAAUUGUCUCUAUGUCUUUAUGCGUGUUUCUAGACUUAUUUUUCUGAUAUUACUUCAAAAGAAGAAAUAGUCAUGGUACUGUGAAAGGGAAUCAGGUAUCAUAACUGGUCCUUUCAGCAAAUGUAUGAAGAUUUAUUUUAUUUUAUUUUAAUGUGGGGGGGAAUUCAUCAACUGAGCAACGGUAGUGUCUUGCUGGCAGCAGAGGUAUGGAUCUUAGGCAGUUCAAGUCUUGGGGAAGGUUGUUUAUUAUUCAAAAAAGAUGUGAGAAAUUCUUCCAUCUCCUGUCCUAAUACAAGAUGCUCAGGGAGUCUAUAGGAGUAGGGAGCAUCUGCAGCAUGGGGGAGAUCCUCUGUAUGUCUUCACACCUUUGUUUACCAUCCAACACAACUGCAUGAGCCAAAUGUAUCUGCUAGACCGGUUUUCUCCUUAACCUCACUUGUAGGGAUCAUGUUGAGGAUUAAAUCUACACUGUAGAGAGUGGCAGCUGCAAGCAAGCUCUGCCUGCUCACUUAGCUCACCAAAGGCAGUGUGAUCACACCAGUGCAAUGCAAAGCUCAGGUUAAUAUGUGCUGGUAAAAGGAGAGGAUGUAUUAGCCUGGGCUUGGCUCCAGGCUGACAGCCAGUUUUGGCGUGACGGCUGGCUCAUGUCUCCUGUUGUGGUCUAGGGGGCAGAGUAGACUCAUGCCAGCUUGUAAGAAAUUAUGUGGGCAUAUCCCACACUGCUUCUCUGUUGAGCUGGUGCAGCAACCAGUCGUGCAGCCAUUCCUGAGGGAUUUGGAGUUGAAAGGGAGCAGCCAGCACUUGGCAGGCUGGAAGGUCAAGGAGAGGUGCUCCAGCCCUUUGAUGUCCAAUUUACCUCAACUCCUUUCCAAGUGGGGACUCACCAUUUUGUAAAGCAUCACGGAUCAUGCUUUCCCAGACUGCCAUGUAGUUGGCUGACAGGAAGAGAUGUCUCUUCGACUUUAUCCAGAAUUGCAUCAGAACAGGAAGCCACCAAGAAGCCACAAUUUUUGACAUCACCCCCAGCUUUUUUCCUUGCUGCCUUUUUUUUUUUUUUUUUUUUUUUUUAACGUGUCAUACCUGCAGAGUUGAAGAACAUCCCCCGAUUGUCCAUUUCCUUUCCUUUGGAUUGGGAAGUGCUCACAUAUAAAUACACAUACAUUAAUGUAUACAAAAAAAGACCAAGGCAACACAGUCUGUGAAUAUAGAAAACCAGAAGAAUGUGUGUAGGCAUAACAAGGAAAAGCCCCAAAGGGGUUCCCAGGAAAGACCCCAGGAACCAGAAUAAACAGCCAAUCAGCCUGUGAAUAAGAAACUGU
rnacentral:lncRNA from 1 species